rnacentral:rRNA from 1 species
UACGUAGGGUGCGAGCGUUGUCCGGAAUUACUGGGCGUAAAGGGCGCGUAGGCGGCCUUCUAAGUCAGACGUGAAAUCCCCAGGCUUAACUUGGGAACUGCGUCUGAUACUGGGAGGCUUGAGUGCGGGAGAGGGAUGUGGAAUUCCAGGUGUAGCGGUGAAAUGCGUAGAUAUCUGGAGGAACACCGGUGGCGAAGGCGGCAUCCUGGACCGACACUGACGCUGAGGCGCGAAAGCUAGGGGAGCAAACGGG